GAUGAACGCUGGCGGCGUGCUUAAUACAUGCAAGUCGAGCGAGGACCACCCGGUGGCAACACCGGGUGACUCCUAGCGGCGAACGGGUGAGUAACACGUGGGCAACCUGCCCCCGACUCUGGGAUAAGCCCGGGAAACUGGGUCUAAUACCGGAUACGAGCCUCCUCCGCAGGGUGGAGGUUGGAAAGGGUCUCCGGUCGGGGAUGGGCCCGCGGCCUAUCAGCUUGUUGGUGGGGUGACGGCCCACCAAGGCGACGACGGGUAGCCGGCCUGAGAGGGUGAACGGCCACACUGGGACUGAGACACGGCCCAGACUCCUACGGGAGGCAGCAGUAGGAAAUCUUGCGCAAUGGGCGAAAGCCUGACGCAGCGACGCCGCGUGCGGGACGAAGGCCCUCGGGUUGUAAACCGCUUUCAGCAGGGACGAAGCGAAAGUGACGGUACCUGCAGAAGAAGGUCCGGCCAACUACGUGCCAGCCGCCGCGGUAACAC
rnacentral:rRNA from 1 species